CAGCCGCCGCGGUAAAACGUAGGGUGCAAGCGUUAAUCGGAAUUACUGGGCGUAAAGCGUGCGCAGGCGGUUAUAUAAGACAGAUGUGAAAUCCCCGGGCUCAACCUGGGAACUGCAUUUGUGAAUGUAUAGCUAGAGUACGGCAGAGGGGGAUGGAAUUCCGCGUGUAGCAGUGAAAUGCGUAGAUAUGCGGAGGAACACCGAUGGCGAAGGCAAUCCCCUGGGCCUGUACUGACGCUCAUGCACGAAAGCGUGGGGAGCAAACAGGAUUAGAUACCCGCGUAGUCCCUGUCUCUUAUAA
rnacentral:rRNA from 1 species